GUUUAAGCGAUACAUAGACGGGCAGCAUGGGCGGCGGCUCGGCGAAGCCGGGACAAGCACCUAAACCUUACUCUCUGCGGCGUGGCAGCAACGGAUCCGCAGGUUUUUGUGGCGUUGCAGCAGCAAAGCGUAUAGCAAGGAGGUUUUAUAGCCAGACAGUGUACAGGUACGGUCAGUCUAGACCAGUGAUUCUCAACCUGGGCGAUAUCGCCCCCUGGGGGGCGAUCGAAAACUUACAGUGGGCGAUUAUUUGACUAUACGCUUUUGGGAGGCGAUAGUCAUUUUGCGUGGGCGAAGUCAUUUUGAUUACCCGCUUUCAGUGAUGGGCCGCUGCAUUUUUAUAUUGCGUUGUGAAAGAAGCGAGUAAAACAUUUUGUAAAACAAUAUUGUUAUCCUUUGGUAUUUAAUUGCUACAGUGUAUAUUCAAUGUUUUAUAUGUCUCCCUAACGGGCAAAAUUAAUUGGAAUGUGAAUACAAAGUUGCAUCGUACAGUCCGGUAUUGCAAUCCCUAGUGCGCAUGUCUUAGAUUCGCUUUGCGUGUGCAACGAUUUCAAUCAUUUAGUCGAGCAGUCAGUAAUGAGUAUUAUUAAAUUUGAAUUUUAAUAUGAUCUGUUGUGCUCUCGCCAUAUAUGAUAUUUGCAUUAUUUUUAAA
rnacentral:lncRNA from 1 species